rnacentral:misc_RNA from 1 species
UCCAAUUUCAGAAACAAAGGCCAACGUUAAGAUUAUUAAUUAUACUAAUAAUCAUUAUGAUAGCAAGCAAUUCCAACUGGGUGCUACUUAAUAGAAGCGGAACAACGUUCAUGCUAGUUGAUAUUAUUUUCACACACCAAAUAUUGUUAUGAAGAGAGAGAGUAAUCAGCCUCCUUCAAUAUAAUUCGAGAAUGAAAGUUUACAAAGCAAAAAAGUAAAAUGCAAGAGUCAUCUUAUUUUGACAAACAACAAGUUCUACCAAAGUCAUCGCUGUUAUUUAUGCUUUAGCAAAAGAGUGAUUGUGAAACCUUAUUUUCAUUUCAUUAAUAAAAGCACAUAGAGAUAACUCAAUCACAAGUAAUGCAUUCAACAUAAAACAAAAAGACAAAAGGAGAAAGUAGAGAAACUAGAAAAAAAAAUAAAAAAAUCAUCCAACACAUUAUAAUUUACGGAAGGAAACUAGCAUAACCAACAUGCCAUAACAAAAGGUUUUACAACCUGUGUUUGGGAUCUAGUUAAAGGACAAUUAACCUGGAAAUCAGAUUUAAAAUAGUUAGCAGGUUGUGUUUUUUAGAUUUCCUACUUUUGUGACCUAUUUUGAUUAAUUGGAAUAGGAGCUUUUAAGAGAGAACUAUUCAAUCUACUGAGUAUAAGAACCCAAUUUAAAGAAACUAAUGCAUGCUUUUCUCGUUCCUAAUCAUACUUUUACAAAUCUGAGAACAAGCAAAACCAACAAAGUAAUUACCCAAUGCAUCAAAACUCAAAAGAGUAAUUGACUCCGCCUUUAAGCUACAUAUGACAAAUAUAAAAGAGAAAAGGAAAACUGUAAAGAAAACUAAUGACAACUGUUGUCCCUUAAUUCACUAUACCCUUCUUGCGUCUGUGAUAAAAACAUAAGUAAACCUGCCCAAAUGGAACCCCCUUAUCUGAAUUCUGUUUUCCCUGCUUGCACGUUUAGCUGCAAGUCCAUAACAAGAGGGUUCUAAAGCUAUUCACAAUGGUUUGAAACCCUCAAAGGUUAGAUAAAUUAUCUCUAAACAGCAAAUAUAACAGAAUAGCAGCUAAACCGCAUAGAAAUUACGAUCUUCACAUCAGUUUCUUCUAAAGAAACAACAAACUUG